CCGGGCGCGCGAUUCACAGCGCCGCGUGCGCCCCGGGCGCGCCGUAGCCGCGGGGCCCGGGCCGGGCGCUACGCUACGAAGGCAGCGUAAGGCGGGCGCCGGACGCGGGCAGGGGCCGGGGCCGGAGCCGGGUCGGGGCGCCCCGCGGCUGAGGAGCGGGAGGCCGUCCGGGCAGCGCGGCCGGCGGCGAGAGGGGCCCCGCCGCUCUCCGGAGGCAGAAGUUGUGGAUCGGCCGGCGGGGGCGAGCGGGCCCGGGGGCCGGGGCCGCGCUGCCCGGGCCGCGAGGACGAGGCGGCGCCGCCGGGCUGUGGAG
ensembl:lncRNA CAPN15 calpain 15